UAAAACUUAAAGACGAUAAUAGUUACACUCACAGUUCACCCUCUGCUGGUCUGUUCCUGAGGACACCGCCGUCCCCUAGUCCCCAGCCUUUGUUGUCCCAGCCACCUCAGUGCAGGAAACACUGAAGAAGAUCCUCAGCCUGAAGGAGGAGCCACCUGCAGUACGGAAUCUUCUCUUGGAAUGGUCCAGGCGCCACAACUUCAGGUUGGUUAACCUCCUGUAGGGGUCAGAGGGGGACGACCCCUGCUCGAUUCUCGAGAAUUGGAUUCCGGCGACACUGGGCAUCACAACACUAAGCUCUGAAGUUAUUCCAGAAGGAGUCCAUGGUGUCGACCCAAGACGGGAACUCACUGCACCCCUGAGAACAAUGAAGAUUCUGAACGGCAUGGGUAAGGUGGCUGUGUUAAGAGCAGUCAAAGCCAAAAAACAAGUUCUCUACAAGGAUAAACCAGAACGUUUCUACCCACACUUGACGGCAGGAGUGCACAAAAAGCAGAAGAAAUACAAGUGUGAAACAGAAGCUUUGUGACAUCAAACAUGGCAUACUCAUUCCUGCCAGACCGCUGGUUACCUACAAUGACAAACACAAACUUUACGUACAACGUCAGAUAAUUUUAUCAAAUUUAAGGGACUAAAAGAUUAGAAUACUACUACGCCAUGGUGUAUUGAUAAUGAUUUAGGCAUUUGUUAUAUUAAGUUAUGUAAUGAUGAAAUUAGGAUUCUGGCAUGGUUACAGGUCUGUUCUAUGUGAAAUACAUACAAGUCUGCUUUUAUUGUCAUUGUUAUUGUAUUAUUAGUGUAGUAGCUGUUUGUCUAAAAAUACAAAUAAAUAAAACUCAUCAAACAUAAACCAAAGGCCACUGAUGCGCCAUGGAGAUGUGGUGCACACAGGCAAAAGAAGUACAUUCAAAAUGUGUGUGUUUCUGAUGAUUUGGUAAAUGAUGACUGGUAAAAAAAAAAACAUAGGCCCACCCAGGUGCAUGCUGGACCUCUACCUGCCUUCUUACCUAUAUAAGCCAGAGUGUGACCC